rnacentral:rRNA from 1 species
AGUGAACGCUGGCGGUAGGCCUAACACAUGCAAGUCGAACGGCAGCACAGUAAGAGCUUGCUCUUACGGGUGGCGAGUGGCGGACGGGUGAGGAAUACAUCGGAAUCCACUUUUUCGUGGGGGAUAACGUAGGGAAACUUACGCUAAUACCGCAUACGACCUACGGGUGAAAGCAGGGGAUCUUCGGACCUUUCGCGAUUGAAUGAGCCGAUGUCGGAUUAGCUAGUUGGCGGGGUAAAGGCCCACCAAGGCGACGAUGCGUAGCUGACCUGAGAGGAUGAUCGGCCACACUGGAAAUGAGACACGGUCGAGACUCCGACGGGGAGAAGCAGUAGGGAAUCUUGCGGAAUGGGCGAAAGCCUGACGGAGCAACGCGGCGUGAGUGAUGAAGGUCUUCUGAUCGUAAAAAUCUGUUAUUAGGGAAGAACAUAUGUGGAAGUAACUGUGCACAUCUUGACGGUAGCUAAUCAGAAAGCCACGGCUAACUACGUG